AGCUUGACUCUUGGUGCUGUAAUUGGUGGUCCAUUAGGUGAGCCACAAAUCUUGGGAGGUGGUGGCAUAAUUGCCUUAUAAAUCAGUGCUAAUAUCACUAUACCAAAAAGGGCUAUCAUUUUUCUGAUCAUUCCUGCAAAAUGGUUUCAAGAUUAGCCACUAAAAGAAAACUCAGGAUUCAAGAAAACAAGAAAAUUACCCUAUAAAAAUGUGCUGAUAAAAUCUUGAGUUGGAGAAGCAGGUGCCUGCCUUCUAACUAAGUAGUUGGACAAUUCAAGAAAACAAAUAAAAUUUAUAAGGAUAUGAAGAGAAUGGUCACAAGACUCGCAACUCUUGCUGCAGAGUGCAGUGUUUUCAGUGUUGUGUCCUUCCUUAGUGCUCUACCUUUCCCCUAUUAUAAAUAGGCCUACCUCGUUAAAAAAAAUUUAAGGAAAAAAUAAAAAACAGAAAGGUAUACUUUAUAAGUAAACAAAAAAUAAAAUGAAAUUAAAGUAUUGAACUUUUUUUUAAGAAAA
rnacentral:lncRNA from 1 species